AUCUUUCUGGAGUAAAUGUUUUACCCAUUCUGUGACACCGGGAAAUGUUAGAUGAACACCGUGUAUCAGAAGAAUUUUUCUCCUUGAGUGCAUUUCUAGGCGAUCAUUUUCAAGUGAAAUGAGCUCCACUUGAGUCUGUAGUGCACGAAGCGCAUUCAGAGUGAAAGUUUUAAAAGCAAGAAACUCUUCUUCCAGUGUGGAGAGUGUUGAAGUGGAGGGAGCGCUCAGUUUCUGCUGUCUUACCUCAAAUUCUGCAAAUUUCUUGUUGAAUAUAUCAGUCAAUUGUGCCAUGGACUGCUGAAUACCUUCCAUUGUGAGAUUGUGAAGUUUAAUAAAUAAAAAAUAAAAAAAUGUU